UUUGAAGAAUAUCCUGGCUGUUUUUUUUUUUACAUAGUUGCAGAAUCUGCUGUUACAGCUGAGCGGUUCAUUGUAUGGACUGGACUAGACUCCACCAGAGAUGUUGAUGCAGAAUGUUCCCAAUGUGAAUGCCAUCCGGUUCCCUGGAGGGUGACGCUGUUCUUCUGGAGUUUUCCGUAGACAAGUGUCUCUGAUGUGCGCACGGCCAUCAGACGAAAAUGUAACAAUGAGCAGUUCAGCCAAAAAAAGGAAAAUAAUGUGUGGUGGGCGUGUUUUUGUAUGGUGCGAGGGUUUAGGGGUGCAAUAAUAAGGAAUGUUGUUUUUCAUUGUUCAGUAUUCCUC